rnacentral:tRNA from 1 species
ACUUAAAUAGCUUAUAUUUUAGAGCACGACACUGAAGAUGUCGAUGAGGUAUUACAUUGCCUUUAAGUG